rnacentral:tRNA from 1 species
ACGAAAGAUUGACGAUUGGUAAGAAUCCACAACAAGUUGUUCUUCAUAGAUGUAUCUGAGGGUCUGUAGCUCAGUUGGUUAGAGCACACGCUUGAUAAGCGUGGGGUCACAAGUUCAAGUCUUGUCAGACCCACCAUGACUUUGACUGGUUGAAGUUAUAGAUAAAAGAUACAUGAUUGAUGAUGUAAGCUGGGGACUUAGCUUAGUUGGUAGAGCGCCUGCUUUGCACGCAGGAGGUCAGGAGUUCGACUCUCCUAGUCUCCACCAGAACUUAAGAUAAGUUCGGAUUACAGAAAUUAGUAAAUAAAGAUUGAGAUCUUGGUUUAUUAACUUCUGUGAUUUCAUUAUCACGGUAAUUAGUGUGAUCUGACGAAGACACAUUAACUCAUUAACAGAUUGGCAAAAUUGAGUCUGAAAUAAAUUGUUCACUCAAGAGUUUAGGUUAAGCAAUUAAUCUAGAUGAAUUGAGAACUAGCAAAUUAACUGAAUCAAGCGUUUUGGUAUGUGAAUUUAGAUUGAAGCUGUACGGUGCUUAAGUGCACAGUGCUCUAAACUGAAAUGUUGAAGUUACUAACUUGUAGGUAACAUCGACUGUUUGGGGUUGUAU